rnacentral:misc_RNA from 1 species
CCAGAAAGACUUCGGGAAGAGAGAUCAAGCGUUAUGAUCUGAGUAGUUCUAGGGUCACAUUUGAUGCCAGACCAGGAACACCAAACUGGGCCUCGGAAAUUAGACUUGGAAGAUGGUCGUCCGGUGGGAUCCCAAUCANGGUGUCAAGAGGGUCUUGGAGGGAUAAUCUGAGGGAAAGUAGAGCACGGAGUUGAAGAGGCAGAGCGGUGGCAGAGUGGAAUAGUAGAAAUGUUUGAAGUAAGUAGAAGAAGGAAA